AGUGAACGCUGGCGGCGUGCUUAACACAUGCAAGUCGAACGAGAACGGAUUAUAGCUUGCUAUAAUUGUCAGCUAAGUGGCGCACGGGUGAGUAAUGUAUAGGUAAUAUGCCUCUUACUAAGGGAUAACAAUUGGAAACGAUUGCUAAUACCUUAUACUCCUUAUUAACAUAAGUUAAUAAGGGAAAGAUUUAUUGGUAAGAGAUUAGCCUGUAUUGUAUCAGUUAGUUGGUGGGGUAAUGGCUUACCAAGACUAUGACACAUAACUGGUUUGAGAGGAUGAUCAGUCACACUGGAACUGAGACACGGUCCAGACUCCUACGGGAGGCAGCAGUGGGGAAUAUUGCACAAUGGACGAAAGUCUGAUGCAGCAACGCCGCGUGGAGGAUGACACAUUUCGGUGCGUAAACUCCUUUUAUAUGAGAAGAUAAUGACGGUAUUAUAUGAAUAAGCACCGGCUAACUCCGUGCCAGCAGCCGCCGUAACAC
rnacentral:rRNA from 1 species